CUGCUCAUUUUAUGCUGGGGACUGGACUACAUGGUUUCAUAGACAUCAUCCCACCAUCCUCACAAUAAUCCCAUUUUGCAGGAGAAAAAUCUGAGGGCCAGAGAGUUUAAGAAAAUUUCCUUAAGAGCAAAAUCCAAAGACCUUCCAUGUCCUUAAAAGUGUGCUUAAACCUGGCCACCUCUAUCUCAAUGAGACCUUUCUCCAUUGUGUCAUCAUAAGGCAAUGUAGCCAAGGACUUGGCCCCAGCCCACAUCCUGGUUACCCAAUCCCAUCUCCACACACACCAAUUAAUAAUGCUCCAUCUCUGAAUCUUGAACUCAAAGGAAAUUUUCUUAAAUUCUUGGAUCUUCGAUGCCUACAUCCAUAACAUGAGUUGCCCCUGCCAGGCUCUGAAGAAGGAUAUUGUGAGAACUAACAAGAAGCACCCAGUCCAGGGACAGCUCCGACGUGGGUCCCCGAAGAACUGUUGUCUGGUGGGGAGGGGCUGCUGAGCCAGCUCGGAGAAGGGGGUUCUUCUGGGGCCUCCUUCCCUUUUCCCCCGAGUCCUGUCCUCUUAGGGGGAAGCUGUCUGAGAUUGAAGCUCCAAAGGCCCCUUUUUGUCUGAGAAGGUCUAAGGGGAUGCUCAAGAUAAAGGUUACUCAUAUUCUGGGGCUGAGGGUAUAGCUCGAUGGCAAAGUGCUUGCCUGGCAUGCAUGAGGCCCUGGGUUCCAUUCCCAGAACAGCAAAACAAAAUCAAAAACAAAACCCUCAUAUUUGUACUGCUCAGGUUUUGAGACUGUCAGGAUUGACUGACGAGCUGAUCUGAGCUUCUCUGGGCUCAAAGCACUAAGCCUCUUCCUGGGAGGAAGACAGUCCAGCUUCAAAAGUGCUCAGAGGUCCUUGGAAGGCCUGAGAAGGUGCCAGGAGUCCCCUGAAGCUGUAGCUGCCACCAGGAGCAGCUCCCUAGGCAGGUUUGAGGCUGCGAGGCUAGCAGAAGGAGGGAGAUGAAACAGGGUGAAGGAGGUUCCUUCAGGGAGCUAGAAGCAGAAGAAAGAACUGCCUGGAGGGAAGGCUCUGCAAAUAGCUCCUGGCCUCCAGUCACUUGAAAGGUGGGAUGGGGGUCAAAAUAAAACAAAAAUGAAAAGCGA